rnacentral:lncRNA from 10 species
CAGUCAUCUAAGUGAGCAGAAUGUUCAAAGGGUGCAAAAUGAACUACAGACAACUAUCCCCGGCACACAACUCCUAUGUUGUCAGCACUGUUAUCAGCAUUAGCAAAGUCCUCACUGGAUCGAUUGAUGUCCACCUACAUUGGGAAAGAGAAUCUGCUUUACUCAGUCUACUGAAUCGAAUGUUAAUCUCAUCAAGAAAUAUCUUCACAGAGACACCUGGAAAUAGUCUUUAACCAAAUAGCUGGGUACCUCAUGGUCCAGUUAAAUUGACACAUAAAAUUAAUCAUCAUAAG